rnacentral:misc_RNA from 1 species
GAUUUGAUCAAAACUGGACCAAACUGGAACUGCUGGUUCUGGCUGGCUCUAUAUAGAGGCUUUAUAGUUUAUGCCUAUGAAUAAAUUUAUUACUGAAGCAAGCGAUUGUACUUAGACUUUAGACUGCUUUGCUUUACACUCUGUAGUUUUAAGGGUUAGAGGUAGAUGCUCAAUAGACCUGCCUUAAAAGAAUUGACAGUCUCAGCCAGACCAUGACUAUCAUGCUUAAUUUCUCUUGAUAAAAAGAUAGAUCUUUUUUGACUAUUAAUAGGAAAGCUCAUGCUUCUUGAUCUCCUCUUAGUUGCUGGUGUUCUUUUGUUCAGAGAUGUUCUUCUUGCUAAUCAACAGUUUUGGAAAUGUUAUGAACUUGUUUUGGAAGUUAGCUCUGCUUUGAUGAUGGAUUGAUCUCGAUUCUCAACAUUAACCUAAGCAUGCUCUGGAUGCACACUAGUUGUGAAACUAAGGGCUUGUUCACUUGUGGAAAAUUGGAGUAGUUUUCUAAGAAAACAAGAAAAUUUUGUGUUCACAUGUACUAGUUUUCCAAAUGAAGAACUAAAAAACUAGUUUUCU